rnacentral:piRNA from 1 species
UGAGGCCCAUCAUAUCGACAAAAUUUGCCU